rnacentral:rRNA from 1 species
UACGUAGGGUGCGAGCGUUGUCCGGAAUUAUUGGGCGUAAAGGGCUCGUAGGCGGUUUGUCGCGUCGGGAGUGGAAACCCAGGGCUUAACCCUGGGCUGGCUUUCGAUACGGGCAGACUAGAGGUAGGUAGGGGAGAUCGGAAUUCCUGGUGUAGCGGUGAAAUGCGCAGAUAUCAGGAGGAACACCGGUGGCGAAGGCGGAUCUCUGGGCCGAUAUCGACGCUGAGGAGCGAAAGCGUGGGGAGCGACAGG